GACGAACGCUGGCGGCGUGCUUAACACAUGCAAGUCGAACGGAAAGGCCCUGCUUUUGUGGGGUGCUCGAGUGGCGAACGGGUGAGUAACACGUGAGUAACCUGCCCUUGACUUUGGGAUAACUACAGGAAACUGGGGCUAAUACCGGAUAGGAGCUCCUGCUGCAUGGUGGGGGUUGGAAAGUUUCGGCGGUUGGGGAUGGACUCGCGGCUUAUCAGCUUGUUGGUGGGGUAGUGGCUUACCAAGGCUUUGACGGGUAGCCGGCCUGAGAGGGUGACCGGCCACAUUGGGACUGAGAUACGGCCCAGACUCCUACGGGAGGCAGCAGUGGGGGAUAUUGCACAAUGGGCGGAAGCCUGAUGCAGCAACGCCGCGUGCGGGAUGACGGCCUUCGGGUUGUAAACCGCUUUCGCCUGUGACGAAGCGUGAGUGACGGUAAUGGGUAAAGAAGCACCGGCUAACUACGUG
rnacentral:rRNA from 1 species